GACAUAGGGUGCGAGCGUUAAUCGGAAUUACUGGGCGUAAAGCGUGCGCAGGCGGUUUGCUAAGACCGAUGUGAAAUCCCCGGGCUUAACCUGGGAACUGCAUUGGUGACUGGCAGGCUAGAGUAUGGCAGAGGGGGGUAGAAUUCCACGUGUAGCAGUGAAAUGCGUAGAGAUGUGGAGGAAUACCGAUGGCGAAGGCAGCCCCCUGGGCCAAUACUGACGCUCAUGCACGAAAGCGUGGGGAGCAAACAGG
rnacentral:rRNA from 1 species